rnacentral:ncRNA from 1 species
AUAAAAGUUUUGAUGAGGAUACGAACAAUAUAUUCCGACUUUACAGAGAGGGAAGUCAUCGGCUGUGAGCUUCCUAUGUACGGCAUAUUGUUUACCACCUCUGAACUCUGGUCAUGAAAUGUAGUAUUGAUCAGCGGAUUAUCCACGUUACGGAUGUACUAAUGAAGCCACAUUUGAUGUGGAAAUUAGGGUGGAACCACGGGUAUAACGCUCGUCCCUUCG